UGAGACAGGUGCUGCAUGGCUGUCGUCAGCUCGUGUUGUGAAAUGUUGGGUUAAGUCCCGCAACGAGCGCAACCCUUAUCCUUUGUUGCCAGCGCGUGAUGGCGGGAACUCAAAGGAGACUGCCGGUGAUAAACCGGAGGAAGGUGGGGAUGACGUCAAGUCAUCAUGGCCCUUACGAGUAGGGCUACACACGUGCUACAAUGGCGCAUACAAAGAGAAGCGACCUCGCGAGAGCAAGCGGACCUCACAAAGUGCGUCGUAGUCCGGAUCGGAGUCUGCAACUCGACUCCGUGAAGUCGGAAUCGCUAGUAAUCGUGGAUCAGAAUGCCACGGUGAAUACGUUCCCGGGCCUUGUACACACCGCCCGUCACACCAUGGGAGUGGGUUGCAAAAGAAGUAGGUAGCUUAACCUUCGGGAGGGCGCUUACCACUUUGUGAUUCAUGACUGGGGUGAAGUCGUAACAAGGUAACCGUAGGGGAACCUGCGGUUGGAUCACCUCCUUACCUGAA
rnacentral:rRNA from 1 species